rnacentral:piRNA from 1 species
UGGGACAUGAAAUGUGUAAACUGCAACGCG